UACUACAUGAGUUUUGAUGAGCCUUGCCCA
rnacentral:piRNA from 1 species